GACCAUGACCCGCCCACCUGGGUGUAUAUAAAUAAGGUUGCAUGAGACCUCAAAGUCCAGGGGAAAACAUAUGCAAUCGAAUCUCAAAACAAGAAUACAAAAAAUUGGCGUUCAAUUCCUCAGGGCAUUAUAUCAAUUCAGGUCUAUAAUUAGAAACGUUUCAUGCAUCAUUAAUGAAGUCAGGUCUAUAAUUAGAAACGUUUCACGCAUCAUUAAUGAAGGCACAAAAAAUGAAAGUCCCCCCCCCCCCCCCCCACCCCAAAA